ACGCUCGACACCUACGGAAGGCAGCAGUCGGGAAUAUUGCGCAAUGGAGGAAACUCUGACGCAGUGACGCCGCGUGCAGGAAGAAGGUUUUCGGAUUGUAAACUGCUUUAGACAGGGAAGAACAAAUGACAGUACCUGUAGAAUAAGCUCCGGCUAACUACGUGCCAUCAGCCGCGGUAAUCUGAGCGGCUGGCAAGGC
rnacentral:rRNA from 1 species